rnacentral:rRNA from 1 species
CCUACGGGUGGCUGCAGUGAGGAAUAUUGGUCAUUGGGCGCGAGCCUGAACCAGCCAAGUCGCGUGAGGGAGGACGGCCCUACGGGUUGUAAACCUCUUUUGCCGGGGAGCAACGGGCGCCACGUGUGGCGUCACUGAGAGUACCCGGCGAAAAAGCAUCGGCUAACUCCGUGCCAGCAGCCGCGGUAUUACGGAGGGUGCGAGCGUUAUCCGGAUUUAUUGGGUUAAAGGGGUGCGUAGGCGGAUAGUUAAGUCAGUGGUCAAAUUGCGGGGCUCAACCGGUUCUCGCCAUUGAAACUGGUGUGCUAGAGUGGAAGAGAAGUAUGUGGAAUGCGUGGUGUAGCGGUGAAAUGCAUAGAUAUCACGCAGAAACCCGAUUGCGAAGGCAGCAUGCCGG